GCAAGAUUGUCCCUCCCUUCCCCAUGAAGCUGUGGAAAAUCUAGUCAGGAUCAACUAUCAAACAAUAAGGAUUCACCUAAAUUCACCUGGGAACAUAGAAUAUAUAAGAUUAUUUUGCCAUAUGAAAUAUGAAGGCACAAAGGGAGAGGAUUGCUAACCAACCUGACAAUAGACUUCUUUCACUUAAAUGGGAAAUCAACGAUUCACACAAAAUUUCACUGAAUGCUCCUCAACAAAUACCAUGUGUCUGAAAGUCACCUGAAAGAAAACCAGCAACUGGAUUGGGGUGAUAUCCUUUAAUCUUCAGUGCCUUGGUAUUCCUUGUCUGCAAGGGAGUGCAAUCCCUGCUUUCACAUAUACUUAUCCUUGUCCUAUAAACUGUGUAACUAAAAUGCUG